rnacentral:rRNA from 1 species
GACGAACGCUGGCGGCGUGCCUAAUACAUGCAAGUUGAGCGCUGAAGGUUGGUACUUGUACCAACUGGAUGAGCAGCGAACGGGUGAGUAACGCGUGGGGAAUCUGCCUUUGAGCGGGGGGCAACAUUUGGAAACGAAUGCUAAUACCGCAUAAAAACUUUAAACACAAGUUUUAAGUUUGAAAGAUGCAAUUGCAUCACUCAAAGAUGAUCCCGCGUUGUAUUAGCUAGUUGGUGAGGUAAAGGCUCACCAAGGCGAUGAUACAUAGCCGACCUGAGAGGGUGGUCGGCCACAUUGGGACUGCGACACGGCCCAAACUCCUACGGGAGGCAGCAGUAGGGAAUCUUCGGCAAUGGACGAAAGUCUGACCGAGCAACGCCGCGUGAGUGAAGAAGGUUUUCGGAUCGUAAAACUCUGUUGGUAGAGAAGAACGUUGGUGAGAGUGGAAAGCUCAUCAAGUGACGGUAACUACCCAGAAAGGGACGGCUAACUACGUG